AGAGUUUGAUCAUGGCUCAGGACGAACGCUGGCGGCGUGCCUAAUACAUGCAAGUCGAGCGAGCUUGCCUAGAUGAUUUUAGUGCUUGCACUAAAUGAAACUAGAUACAAGCGAGCGGCGGACGGGUGAGUAACACGUGGGUAACCUGCCCAAGAGACUGGGAUAACACCUGGAAACAGAUGCUAAUACCGGAUAACAACACUAGACGCAUGUCUAGAGUUUGAAAGAUGGUUCUGCUAUCACUCUUGGAUGGACCUGCGGUGCAUUAGCUAGUUGGUAAGGUAACGGCUUACCAAGGCAAUGAUGCAUAGCCGAGUUGAGAGACUGAUCGGCCACAUUGGGACUGAGACACGGCCCAAACUCCUACCGGAGGCAGCAGUAGGGAAUCUUCCACAAUGGACGAAAGUCUGAUGGAGCAACGCCGCGUGAGUGAAGAAAGGUUUCAGCUCGUAAAGCUCUGUUGGUAGUGAAGAAAGAU
rnacentral:rRNA from 1 species